rnacentral:rRNA from 1 species
CCUACGGGAGGCAGCAGUGGGGGAUAUUGGACAAUGGGGGGAACCCUGAUCCAGCGACGCCGCGUGAGUGAAGAAGUAUUUCGGUAUGUAAAGCUCUGUCAGCAGGGAAGAAAGAAAUGACGGUACCGGACCAAGAAGCCACGGCUAACGACGUGCCAGCAGCCGCGGUAAUACGUAGGGGGCAAGCGUUAUCCGGAAUUACGGGGUGUAAAGGGAGCGUAGACGGUUAAGGAAGUCUGGAGUGAAAGGCCGGGGCCCAACCCCGGGACUGCUCUUGAAACUCUUGAACUUGAGUGCAGGAGCGGUAAGCGGACUUCCUCUUGUCGCGGUGC